AAGAGACAGCAGUAGCCGCGGUAAUACGAAGGGUGCAAGCGUUAAUCGGAAUUACUGGGCGUAAAGCGUGCGUAGGCGGUGAGUUAAGUCUGCUGUGAAAUCCCCGGGCUCAACCUGGGAAUGGCAGUGGAUACUGGCUCGCUAGAGUGUGUCAGAGGAUGGUGGAAUUCCCGGUGUAGCGGUGAAAUGCGUAGAGAUCGGGAGGAACAUCAGUGGCGAAGGCGGCCAUCUGGGACAACACUGACGCUGAGGCACGAAAGCGUGGGGAGCAAACAGGAUUAGAUACCCGGGUAGUCCCUGUCUCUUAUAC
rnacentral:rRNA from 1 species